CAUUCUGUCCCUAUACUCUGUUCUCUGCCCUUCUUCCAAUCGCCCGGCCCUAUCCUGCGCCGGCCCUAUACAUCUCAGUGUUCUGGUUAUUGGUUUUCGUUGGGUAUUGCAUGACUGGAUUUUAAUGUUGCUGUUUUAUACCCUUGUUUUAUUUAAUUGUAUUUUAUUAUUUGAUUGCUAUGCUUUGCUAUGCUUUAUUUUAAGCGUGUUUUUUUGUUUUAAUGCAGGGGUCCUCAAACUAUGGCCCGGGGGCUGGAUACGGCCCUCCAAGGUCAUUGACCCGGCCCUUGCUCAGGGUCAACCUAAGUCUGAAACAACUUGAAAGCACAAAACAACAAUCCUAACUCAUCAGCCAAAAAUGUUGGAGAAUUCGAAGAGAUACAAAUGGAGGGUGAAAGGGAGAAAUGUUGCACUGGUGUCCUCACUGUGGGAGAACAUGCGGAUCAAGAACAGCCACAGCCACAGCCACCUAUGGACCCACCGCCAAGACACCAGACUUGGAGGACCAUCAUCCUCAGGCUACAAGGGAUCUCCUAAGCAAAUAUAAAGAAAGCACGUGUGACUUCCUAGCAUGACACAGUGACACUGAAACUGUCUCACCCUUAAGAGUCUGGAAGCUCUUCACCUAGAUCUCCUAGCUGAGUGAGCCUACGGUGAGGAAGCAAUCCAAAGGUUCCUUUGGAGAGCUGAACUCAGGAUCUGGCCCUACAGCUGAAGGCAACAAACAUUCCAAUCCUCUCCCUCCCAACUUCCUGAUGGGCCAGCAAUUCUUGUUUCCAUUUGUGCUUAUGCUUGAAGUUGCAUACCUUAGCUCUGGAGGAGUGUCAUUGGAUUACGGGACAUUUAAAUCAAGAUUUUCCUGUACAAAGAAUCACUACAUAUGCUAAAAAGGUACUUAAAAACUCUAAACAAGCACUGAGCACCUGUAAAAGAGGACUAAACAACUCUAAACAGGCAUUGAAUACCCUUAAAGAGGCACAAAAUAUGCAAAAAGAGACUGAACAAGUCUAAACAGGCACUGAACACCCUUAAAAAGAGACUGAACAAGUCUAAACAGGCACUGAACACCAUUAAAAGGGGGCUGAAAAACAUAGGCACUGAACACCCAAGGAUUUAAAAAUAUUACUGUGAGCUGUAGUAAAAGAAAAAGAAAAAAAGCUUUCCAAGCUCUGCAAGGAAGUCUCAAGAGAAAACAUCAUGUUCCCUGUUAAUCAAUUAAUCCUUUCCAGUUUGGUGUCUAUUGAUUCUAUC